UACAGAGGGUGCGAGCGUUAAUCGGAAUUACUGGGCGUAAAGGGCGCGUAGGUGGUUAUGUAAGAUUGAUGUGAAAUCCCUGGGCUUAACCUAGGAACUGCGUCGAUGACUGCAUAGCUGGAGUACUGUAGAGGGUAGUAGAAUUUCCGGUGUAGCGGUGAAAUGCGUAGAGAUCGGAAGGAAUACCAGUGGCGAAGGCGGCUACCUGGACAGAUACUGACACUGAGGCGCGAAAGCGUGGGGAGCAAACAGG
rnacentral:rRNA from 1 species